rnacentral:rRNA from 1 species
AUCUAUACCCAUACCACCCUGAAUGUGCUUGAUCUUGUCUGAUCUUGGAAGCUGAUCAAGGUUGGGCCUGGUCAGUACUUGGAUGCCCCUAUAAGGCAAGAGGGGGAUAAAUC